rnacentral:rRNA from 1 species
UACGUAGGGUGCGAGCGUUAAUCGGAAUUACUGGGCGUAAAGCGUGCGCAGGCGGUUAUGCAAGACAGAUGUGAAAUCCCCGGGCUCAACCUGGGAACUGCAUUUGUGACUGCAUGGCUGGAGUGCGGCAGAGGGGGAUGGAAUUCCGCGUGUAGCAGUGAAAUGCGUAGAUAUGCGGAGGAACACCGAUGGCGAAGGAAAUCCCCUGGGCCUGCACUGACGCUCAUGCACGAAAGCGUGGGGAGCAAACAGG